rnacentral:misc_RNA from 1 species
AAGACUAUAGACCUGCGGAGUACCUGCGGAAGGAUCAUUAACGUAUCUAUGAUGGGGUGCGGAGCGCCCUGCUCCGGUCGAACGGCCGUGCAGCGGGUGCGCCGCCCCCGUCCCACCUCCCAAACCCACUGUGAACAUUCACCGGUGGAGGGGGCUCGGUCUGCGCCGUGUCCCCGAUGCCGAAUACCCAAACUCCAGUUGCAAAGAACGUCGUGCGGACUCGGUGCCGCCUAAAACAUG